UACGAAGGGGGCUAGCGUUGUUCGGAAUUACUGGGCGUAAAGGGCGCGUAGGCGGUACUUCAAGUCAGGCGUGAAAGCCCCGGGCUCAACCAGGGAACCGCGCUUGAGACUGGAGAACUAGAGUUCGGGAGAGGAUGGUGGAAUUCCCAGUGUAGAGGUGAAAUUCGUAGAUAUUGGGAAGAACACCGAUGGCGAAGGCAGCCAUCUGGACCGACACUGACGCUGAGGCGCGAAAGCGUGGGGAGCAAACAGG
rnacentral:rRNA from 1 species